rnacentral:rRNA from 1 species
ACCCAAUAGAUACCCAGGUAGUCCACGCCGUAAACGAUGGAUACUAGUUGUUGGGGGUAUCGACCCCCUCAGUAAACGAAAGCUAAACGCGUUAAAGUAUCCCGCCUGUGGAGUACGGUCGCAAGACUAAAACAUAAAGGAAUUGACGGGGACCCGCACAAGCGGUGGAGCGUGUUCUUUAAUUCGAUGAUAAACGAAGAACCUUACCAGGGCUUGACAUCCCUUGAAUUUUGCCGAAAGGCGAGAGUGCUUUAUUGAACAAGGUGACAGGUGCUGCAUGGCCGUCGUCAGCUCGUGUCGUGAGAUGUUUGGUUAAGUCCAUUAACGAGCGCAACCCUUAUGAAUAGUUGGAUUUUUCUAUUCAGACUGCCCCGGUAACGGGGAGGAAGGAGGGGAUGAUGUCAGGUCAGUAUUGCCCUUACGUCCUGGGCUAGAAACGCGCUACAAUGGCCGGUACAAUGCGCAGCGAAGCAGUGAUGUGGAGCAAAUCGCAUCAAAGCCGGUCCCAGUUCGGAUAGCAGGCUGAAACUCGCCUGCUUGAAGUCGGAAUC